rnacentral:rRNA from 1 species
UACGUAGGGGGCGAGCGUUGUCCGGAUUUAUUGGGCGUAAAAGGCUUGUAGGUGGCCACGGCAAGUCGGAUGUGAAAUCUCCCGGCUCAACUGGGAGGGGCCAUUCGAUACUGCCGGGCUCGAGGCCGGUAGGGGGAAGCGGAAUUCCCGGUGUAGUGGUGGAAUGCGUAGAUAUCGGGAGGAACACCAGAGGCGAAGGCGGCUUCCUGGACCGGUCCUGACACUGAGGAGCGAAAGGCGUGGGGAGCAAACAGG